AUUAAUUACUUUUUUGGAAAACAAACUAUUUUAGAAAUAUUUAUCUUCAUUAAAUAGAUACAGAAAAUAGAUCUGGAUAAUAGUGUAAAAGAGAAAAUGAAUGUUACCCAUUAAUUCCUCUGCCCAGUUUUCUUUGUAUGUUUGCUUGUAUGUGUGUGUGUAUACACUUUUAUAAACACUGUGUAAGUGCACACACACACAGAGACACAUAUGUUCAAGAGUAGCAAGACUAAAUGUAUUCAGGGACAUAGAUUAAUUGGAUAUGGUAAUAAUACCACAAGAUGGGAAGAUGUUCUCUAACGUCCUAUUAUAUUAACUUAUUAUAAUUUUCUCAAAACAAACAAACAAGAAAACCCACUCUGAAUUGAACUCCUCAAUCUAUAUAACUUAUUCACAUACUUUUGACAGUUUUGUUUUUGAAGGACAUAAUUUUUCUCCUUUUGAAAAAUGGGAAGGCAUAGGACAUUUCCCCCAACUUCCUUUAAAUGUAUAUAUGUGUUCUUUUGCAUCAUAUACAAACUUAGAAAACAGAGAUCAUAAAGGAAAUACAUGCUUUUCUAGUUUUCAGUUACAAUUAUGUAUUCACAUUUUCCAUGGCAUUAAAGUUUUUAAAUGGAUUACAGUAAUUUAAAACAAUGAUGUAAUAAUUGUAUAAAGCUUACUGUGUGCUAAGCACUGUUUUAAGUGCUUCACAUAUAUUAAAGGUAUUUAAUCUUCAUAAAAAGUCUGUGAUACAGAUUCUGCUCUUACCCCUGUUUUGCAGAUAAGAGACAGCUGAGGCCCUGACAGGGUGCCUGGCCUGCCCAGGGUCCCACAGUUAGUGAACGUCAUAGGUGGACUGUGACUUCGGAGGUCUGGCUCCAGAGUCUGUGUUCUUGUUAGUUGUCUUUCUGUUUAUGGUUUGCUAUGCAGAAGUUUCUGGGUGUCUCCUGAGGAGGAUUUAGCCAAAAAGAAGACAGCACUCAGUCGUGUCUGACUCUUGCGAUCCCAUAAACCAUAGCCUGCCAGGCUCCCCUGUCCAUGGGAUUCUCCAGGCAAGAAUACUGGAGUGAGUUGCCAUUUCCUUCUCCAGGGGAUCUUCCCAACCCAGGAACUGAACCCAGGUCUCCCGCGUUGCAGGCAGAUGCUUUACCGACUGAGCUAUGCGGGAAGUCCAGGGUUUAGCCAAGGACCGUGAUAAAUUCCAAUUGGGGGCGGGGAGUCGGGGGAGAAAAACUUCCUAAUGGAUAGUUUUCUUCUACU